CUCGUAGGCGGUUCGUCGCGUCCGGUGUGAAAGUCCAUCGCUUAACGGUGGAUCUGCGCCGGGUACGGGCGGGCUGGAGUGCGGUAGGGGAGACUGGAAUUCCCGGUGUAACGGUGGAAUGUGUAGAUAUCGGGAAGAACACCAAUGGCGAAGGCAGGUCUCUGGGCCGUUACUGACGCCGAGGAGCGAAAGCGUGGGGAGCGAACA
rnacentral:rRNA from 1 species